rnacentral:rRNA from 1 species
CAUAGGUUAAUGAGGCGAACCGGGGGAACUGAAACAUCUAAGUACCCCGAGGAAAAGAAAUCAACCGAGAUUCCCCCAGUAGCGGCGAGCGAACGGGGAGGAGCCCAGAGCCUGAAUCAGUGUGUGUGUUAGUGGAAGCGUCUGGAAAGGCGCGCGAUACAGGGUGACAGCCCCGUACACAAAAAUGCACAUACUGUGAGCUCGAUGAGUAGGGCGGGACACGUGGUAUCCUGUCUGAAUAUGGGGGGACCAUCCUCCAAGGCUAAAUACUCCUGACUGACCGAUAGUGAACCAGUACCGUGAGGGAAAGGCGAAAAGAACCCCGGCGAGGGGAGUGAAAAAGAACCUGAAACCGUGUACGUACAAGCAGUGGGAGCACAGAGCAAUCUGUGUGACUGCGUACCUUUUGUAUAAUGGGUCAGCGACUUAUAUUCUGUAGCAAGGUUAACCGAAUAGGGGAGCCGAAGGGAAACCGAGUCUUAACUGGGCGUUAAGUUGCAGGGUAUAGACCCGAAACCCGGUGAUCUAGCCAUGGGCAGGUUGAAGGUUGGGUAACACUAACUGGAGGACCGAACCGACUAAUGUUGAAAAAUUAGCGGAUGACUUGUGGCUGGGGGUGAAAGGCCAAUCAAACCGGGAGAUAGCUGGUUCUCCCCGAAAGCUAUUUAGGUAGCGCCUCGUGAAUUCAUCUCCGGGGGUAGAGCACUGUUUCGGCAAGGGGGUCAUCCCGACUUACCAACCCGAUGCAAACUGCGAAUACCGGAGAAUGUUAUCACGGGAGACACACGGCGGGUGCUAACGUCCGUCGUGAAGAGGGAAACAACCCAGACCGCCAGCUAAGGUCCCAAAGUCAUGGUUAAGUGGGAAACGAUGUGGGAAGGCCCAGACAGCCAGGAUGUUGGCUUAGAAGCAGCCAUCAUUUAAAGAAAGCGUAAUAGCUCACUGGUCGAGUCGGCCUGCGCGGAAGAUGUAACGGGGCUAAACCAUGCACCGAAGCUGCGGCAGCGACGCUGAUGCGUUGUUGGGUAGGGGAGCGUUCUGUAAGCCUGUGAAGGUGUGCUGUGAGGCAUGCUGGAGGUAUCAGAAGUGCGAAUGCUGACAUAAGUAACGAUAAAGCGGGUGAAAAGCCCGCUCGCCGGAAGACCAAGGGUUCCUGUCCAACGUUAAUCGGGGCAGGGUGAGUCGACCCCUAAGGCGAGGCCGAAAGGCGUAGUCGAUGGGAAACAGGUUAAUAUUCCUGUACUUGGUGUUACUGCGAAGGGGGGACGGAGAAGGCUAUGUUGGCCGGGCGACGGUUGUCCCGGUUUAAGCGUGUAGGCUGGUUUUCCAGGCAAAUCCGGAAAAUCAAGGCUGAGGCGUGAUGACGAGGCACUACGGUGCUGAAGCAACAAAUGCCCUGCUUCCAGGAAAAGCCUCUAAGCAUCAGGUAACAUCAAAUCGUACCCCAAACCGACACAGGUGGUCAGGUAGAGAAUACCAAGGCGCUUGAGAGAACUCGGGUGAAGGAACUAGGCAAAAUGGUGCCGUAACUUCGGGAGAAGGCACGCUGAUAUGUAGGUGAAGUCCCUCGCGGAUGGAGCUGAAAUCAGUCGAAGAUACCAGCUGGCUGCAACUGUUUAUUAAAAACACAGCACUGUGCAAACACGAAAGUGGACGUAUACGGUGUGACGCCUGCCCGGUGCCGGAAGGUUAAUUGAUGGGGUCAGCGCAAGCGAAGCUCUUGAUCGAAGCCCCGGUAAACGGCGGCCGUAACUAUAACGGUCCUAAGGUAGCGAAAUUCCUUGUCGGGUAAGUUCCGACCUGCACGAAUGGCGUAAUGAUGGCCAGGCUGUCUCCACCCGAGACUCAGUGAAAUUGAACUCGCUGUGAAGAUGCAGUGUACCCGCGGCAAGACGGAAAGACCCCGUGAACCUUUACUAUAGCUUGACACUGAACAUUGAGCCUUGAUGUGUAGGAUAGGUGGGAGGCUUUGAAGUGUGGACGCCAGUCUGCAUGGAGCCGACCUUGAAAUACCACCCUUUAAUGUUUGAUGUUCUAACGUUGACCCGUGAUCCGGGUUGCGGACAGUGUCUGGUGGGUAGUUUGACUGGGGCGGUCUCCUCCUAAAGAGUAACGGAGGAGCACGAAGGUUGGCUAAUCCUGGUCGGACAUCAGGAGGUUAGUGCAAUGGCAUAAGCCAGCUUGACUGCGAGCGUGACGGCGCGAGCAGGUGCGAAAGCAGGUCAUAGUGAUCCGGUGGUUCUGAAUGGAAGGGCCAUCGCUCAACGGAUAAAAGGUACUCCGGGGAUAACAGGCUGAUACCGCCCAAGAGUUCAUAUCGACGGCGGUGUUUGGCACCUCGAUGUCGGCUCAUCACAUCCUGGGGCUGAAGUAGGUCCCAAGGGUAUGGCUGUUCGCCAUUUAAAGUGGUACGCGAGCUGGGUUUAGAACGUCGUGAGACAGUUCGGUCCCUAUCUGCCGUGGGCGCUGGAGAACUGAGGGGGGCUGCUCCUAGUACGAGAGGACCGGAGUGGACGCAUCACUGGUGUUCGGGUUGUCAUGCCAAUGGCACUGCCCGGUAGCUAAAUGCGGAAGAGAUAAGUGCUGAAAGCAUCUAAGCACGAAACUUGCCCCGAGAUGAGUUCUCCCUGACCCUUUAAGGGUCCUGAAGGAACGUUGAAGACGACGACGUUGAUAGGCCGGGUGUGUAAGCGCAGCGAUGCGUUGAGCUAACCGGUACUAAUGAACCGUGAGGCUUAACCUUACAACGCCGAAGGUGUUU